UUGUAGGCUGCGUUAAGGAUAGAGGCGGCAUCCCCCGUAGUAGUCGUGAAGUGAGCUUCGCUCUACUUCAUCGGCACUACAGGGAUAUAGCCGAAAGCCUGCCCACUG
rnacentral:sRNA from 1 species